CCUACGGGAGGCAGCAGUGGGGAAGUUUUGGACAAUGGGCGCAAGCCUGAUCCAGCAAUGCCGCGUGCAGGAUGAAGGCCUUCGGGUUGUAAACUGCUUUUGUACGGAACGAAACGGCUCUUUCUAAUAAAGAGAGCUAAUGACGGUACCGUAAGAAUAAGCACCGGCUAACUACGUGCCAGCAGCCGCGGUAAUACGUAGGGUGCGAGCGUUAAUCGGAAUUACUGGGCGUAAAGCGUGCGCAGGCGGUUAUAUAAGACAGAUGUGAAAUCCCCGGGCUCAACCUGGGACCUGCAUUUGUGACUGUAUAGCUAGAGUACGGUAGAGGGGGAUGGAAUUCCGCGUGUAGCAGUGAAAUGCGUAGAUAUGCGGAGGAACACCGAUGGCGAAGGCAAUCCCCUGGACCUGUACUGACGCUCAUGCACGAAAGCGUGGGGAGCAAACAGGAUUAGAUACCCUGGUAGUCCACGCCCUAAACGAUGUCAACUGGUUGUUGGGUCUUCACUGACUCAGUAACGAAGCUAACGCGUGAAGUUGACCGCCUGGGGAGUACGGCCGCAAGGUUGAAACUCAAAAGAGUAGUGACGUGNGAGAGCGACGACGACGACGACGGAGGGAGGAGG
rnacentral:rRNA from 1 species